rnacentral:rRNA from 1 species
GGUGAGUAACGCGUUGGUGACCUGCCUCGAAGUGCGGAAUAACUCCGGGAAACUGGAGCUAAUACCUCAUGUGGUCACGGUUUUUAGAAAGCCGUGUCUAAAGGUCUUCGGAUCGCUUCGAGAGGGGCCUGCGUCCCAUCAGCUAGUUGGUAGGGUAAUGGCCUACCAAGGCGACGACGGGUAGGGGACCUGAGAGGGUGAUCCCCCACAAUGGAACUGAAACACGGUCCAUACACCUACGGGUGGCAGCAGUAGGGAAUAUUGCACAAUGGGCGAAAGCCUGAUGCAGCAACGCCGCGUGCGCGAUGAAGGCCUUCGGGUUGUAAAGCGCUUUUCUGAGGGAAGAGGAAGGACGGUACCUCAGGAAUAAGUCUCGGCUAACUACGUGCCAGCAGCCGCGGUAACACGUAGGAGGCAAGCGUUAUCCGGAUUUACUGGGCGUAAAGCGCGUGCAGGCGGUUUGGUAAGUUGGAUGUGAAAGCUCCUGGCUCAACUGGGAGAGGCCGUUCAAUACUGCCAGACUAGAGGACGGUAGAGGAAGGUAGAAUUCCUGGUGUAGUG